rnacentral:rRNA from 1 species
UACGUAGGUGACAAGCGUUGUCCGGAUUUACUGGGCGUAAAGAGCGCGCAGGCGGUCGUUCAAGUCGAGUGUGAAAGCCCCCGGCUCAACUGGGGAGGGUCAUUCGAUACUGAUCGACUCGAAGGCAGGAGAGGGAAGUGGAAUUCCCGGUGUAGUGGUGAAAUGCGUAGAUAUCGGGAGGAGCACCAGUGGCGAAGGCAGGUCUCUGGGCAUUAACUGACGCUGAGGAGCGAAAGCAUGGGGAGCGAACAGG